rnacentral:hammerhead_ribozyme from 1 species
AAGCGAAACCGCCCGCAAGGGCGGUCGCCGGGGCGCGGCGGCCUCGGCCUGAUGAGCAAGCCGUAA